AUGAUGGUGAUUUUCUUCUUCAUGUCUCUGAUGCCCAGAUCUGAAGCCACUGACGUUCCCACCUCUGCAACCUGGAAGCUCCGUUCAGGAGGCGACCUGGAGAUGAUCUUCAUGCACAUGGAAACGUUUCAGGUCAUCAAAUUGUUUAAAUGGACUUUAAUAAAAAUAUGAUACAAUGAAGAUAAAAUGCAGUGUUUAAAUUACAUGAAGCUUUUUGUUAUUAAGGAGGAAAUCAGUUCAAACACACUGUAAGAGCCAGUUAAUGGGGAAUUCAUAUAGAAUAAUAAUUUAGAUUAAAAAUGUAUAAAUAUGCUUAAUUUAAUUUUAAGAAAUUCAUUUUGAGUAUAUUUUCUAAAAUGUAUAACUUAGUUAAUAUAAAGGGAUACUUUUAUUGUGAAAAGUAAUUUUGGCUUCCACUACGUAAUGCAUAACAUUAACAUUGCCCGUAUGCAUGUGUGAGGGCAGAUUGCAGUUGGAUACGGUGGAAGCAACACAAUUUUUUGACCGAUCUGUACCGAGCCUUUCAUUUUUUCUGUAAGUGUAUUUUUGGAGUUCUUUAAGUAAACAUCAUAAAAGAAGACUUGGUUUCAGUCGAGUGAUUCAAAUAUUUGUUGCUAGACAAACUGCAAAGGUGGUACAACGAACUUUUGGGACGCAGAGUGCCACUACAUAAAGUCAAAAAAUUGCUAAUGGAGCCUCAUUUCUUCUUGCCCGAACAACGCGGUUGAAGAGAAAAGAAGCUCGCGCCUCGCUGA